GGAAACACUGAGCUCAAUCCCUGGCUCUUUUAGGCGCUCAGACCCCUGAUUUGGACACUGCCUCUUGCCCUUGCCUACCUGCAAAUUCUUGGGUAAGGUCUCUUUGGUCUUCUUUGUUUUCUCAGGUGGUAUCUUUGAGAUUUAAAGCAGAACCUUACAUUCAAGACUGUUAGUAAUUAGUAAAGUGUUAUAUGUACUGUUUAGUGCAUUAACUUGGUGAGAGAACAAUAACAUAUGUGUGUGUGUGUGUGUGUUUAUAUGUAGGUGUAUGCCCAGGUGUGAGCCUAGGAAUUUGAGACUAGCCUGGGCAACAUAGCAAGCCCCCUGUCUAAAAAACAAAAAUAAUGCCUAACCUAUUUAGCAUUUACUGUGUGCGCAGCACUGUACUAAACUCCUUAUUAAGACUCCUUUUAAAUUUUUCCCGCAGACAGUGCCCACACCCAUGGUUUCACACUUUGGCCACCGUCACAUCUUCACUUAUGCCCAAGUGCACACCUGUCGCUUCCUUUACCAGGAUAAACUCCAGGCAUUGCUGGGUCCAAAGGGCUUGGGACAUUUGGGAUGGGAUUUGUUGCUGGGAGCUGGGCAGAGUGUGAUUGUCGCCGCACCUUCGGGGCUUUGGGGAUCGCCUCCCUAGGCGCUGGCCUAGGCCCAUGUCCACCUCCCCUUGUCCUCCCCAGCCGCACAGCCGACCUUUGCCCCAGGCCUGGCGAUCUGAGCUCCAGCAGCUCCCGGCCCACCCCUUGCUCAGGAGAGCACUGCGGCGAGGCUGAGGGACAGACCGACCCACAGACGCCGCUGGGACAGAUCGUGGGGGGCUGAUGGCCGCUCAGGGCGAGCCCUGCGUCGGGUCCGGGGUGUGGAACCAGACUGAGCCGGAACCUGCUGCCUCCGGCCUGCUGAGCCUGUGCUUUCUGAAGGCAACAGGGGUCUGGGUGCCCCCUCUGUACCUCUGGGUCCUUGGCCCCUUCUACCUCCUCUACAUUCACCGCCAUGGCCGGGGCUAUCUCCGGAUGUCCCCCCUCUUCAAAGCCAAAAUGGUGCUUGGGUUCGCCCUCAUCCUCCUGUGCACCUUCAGCGUGGCUGUGCCUCUGUGGAGAAUCCAGCAGGGGGAGCCCCAGGCCCCGGAAGUCCUCAUUCAUCCUACAGUCUGGCUCACCACCAUGGUAACGACCUCUUCCCUGGAUCGGGCUGCUGCUCUUCCAGCGUGGGGGUGGGGAGGGGUGGGAGGGGAAAGGUGGAGCCGUCCCUCCAUCCCCUCCCUCCCCCCCAACCCUCUAAGGCCCAUGUGGACUUUCUUGCCCAGAGCUUUGCCAUGUUCCUGGUGCACGUGGAGAGGAGGAAGGGUGUCCAGGCAUCCGGGGUGCUAUUUGGGUACUGGCUGCUCUGCUGUCUCUUGCCAGCUACCAGCACUGCCCAGCAGGCCUCGAGCGGGGUAA
rnacentral:lncRNA from 1 species